UCUUUAUUUUUUAUUUUACAAAGGAUUUUGAAAAUCUUUUUUGGCUUAAUCUUAGCCGUUUAGUG
rnacentral:tRNA from 1 species